rnacentral:rRNA from 1 species
AUCGAACGCUGGCGGCAGGCCUAACACAUGCAAGUCGAACGAGUGGCGGACGGGUGAGCAAUGUCUGGGAAACUGCCUGAUGGAGGGGGAUAACUACUGGAAACGGUAGCUAAUACCGCAUACCAUCAUUUCUGCCCAGAGGGGAUGAGCUAGUUGGUGGGGUAACGGCUCACCAAGGCGACGAUGCAUAGCUGGUCUGAGAGGAUGACCAGCCACACUGGAACGGAGACACGGUCCAGAAUCCGACGGGAGGCAGCAGUGGGGAAUAUUGCGCAAUGGGCGCAAGCCUGAUGCAGCCAUGCCGCGUGUAUGAAGAAGGCCUUCGGGGUGUAAAGUACUUUCGGCAGGGAGGCGUUACCCGCAGAGGAAGCACCGGCUAACUCCGUGCCAGCAGCCGCGGUAAUUC